rnacentral:rRNA from 1 species
UACGGAGGAUGCAAGCGUUGUCCGGAAUUAUUGGGCGUAAAGAGCUCGUAGGCGGUCUGUCGCGUCUGCUGUGAAAACUCGGGGCUUAACCCCGGGCCUGCAGUGGGUACGGGCAGACUAGAGUGCGGUAGGGGAGACUGGAAUUCCUGGUGUAGCGGUGAAAUGCGCAGAUAUCAAGUGGAACACCAGUGGCGAAGGCGAGUCCCUGGACAACUCCUGACACUGAGGCACGAAAGCUAGGGGAGCAAACAGG